UACCCCGGUAACUUAAGCAUAUCAAUAAGCGGAGGAAAAGAAACCAACAGGGAUUACCUCAGUAACGGCGAGUGAAGCGGUAACAGCUCAAAUUUGAAAUCUGGCCUCACGGUCCGAGUUGUAAUUUGUAGAGGAUGCUUCGAGCAUGGUCUGGCCUAAGUUCCUUGGAACAGGACGUCAUAGAGGGUGAGAAUCCCGUAUGCGGCCAGGUGCCUACGCUCAUGUGAAGCUCCUUCGACGAGUCGAGUUGUUUGGGAAUGCAGCUCAAAAUGGGUGGUAAAUUUCAUCUAAAGCUAAAUAUUGGCCAGAGACCGAUAGCGCACAAGUAGAGUGAUCGAAAGAUGAAAAGCACUUUGGAAAGAGAGUUAAACAGUACGUGAAAUUGUUGAAAGGGAAGCGCUUGCAACCAGACUUGCGCGCGGCCGAUCAUCCGGUGUUCUCACCGGUGCACUCGGCCGUGCUCAGGCCAGCAUCGGUUUUGGCGGCUGGAUAAAGGCCCUAGGAAUGUAGCUCCUCUCGGGGAGUGUUAUAGCCUAGGGUGCAAUGCAGCCUGCUGGGACCGAGGACCGCGCUUCGGCUAGGAUGCGGGCGUAAUGGUUGUAAGCGGCCCGUCUUGAAACACGG
rnacentral:rRNA from 1 species